GGGACGGUGGCUUAGUGGCGAAGCGCGUGCUUCACAUGCAGAAGGUCACCGGUUCAAUCCCUGCCAUUUUCA